rnacentral:lncRNA from 15 species
CACACUGCUACUACACACUGCUACUACACAACUACACAACUACACACUGCUACUACACACUGCUACUACACAACUACACACUGCUACUACACACUGCUACACACUACUGCUACACACUACUGCUACACACUACUACACACUGCUACUACACACUGCUACUACACACUGCUACCACACACUGCUACACACUACUGCUACACACUACUGCUACACACUGCUGCUACACACUGCUACACACUACUGCUACACACUGCUGCUACACACUGCUGCUACACACUACUGCUACACACUACUACACACUACUGCUACUACACACUGCUACACACUACUGCUACACACUGCUACUACACACUGCUACUACACACUGCUACACACUGCUACUACACACUACUACACACUACUGCUACACACUGCUGCUACACACUGCUGCUACACACUACUGCUACACACUACUACACACUGCUACACACUGCUACUACACACUACUACACACUACUACACACUACUGCUACACACUGCUACACACUACUGCUACACACUACUGCUACACACUACACACUACUGCUACACACUACUACACACUGCUACACACUACUACACACUGCUGCUACACACUACUGCUACACACUGCUACACACUACUGCUACACACUGCUACUACACACUGCUACACACUACUACACACUACUGCUACACACUGCUGCUACACACUACUGCUACACACUGCUGCUACACACUGCUGCUACACACUGCUACUACACACUGCUACUACACACUACUGCUACACACUACUACACACUACUACACACUACUACUACACACUACUACACCCUACACACUACUGCUACACACUACUGCACACUACUACACACUACUGCUACACACUACUGCUACACACUGCUACUACACACUACUGCUACACACUGCUACACACUACUACACACUGCUACACACUACUGCUACACACUGCUACACACUGCUACUACACACUGCUACACACUGCUACACACUGAUAAUUAAAAUAAUUGUUGAUGACUCGUCUGUUUCCACUUGUUGA